rnacentral:autocatalytically_spliced_intron from 1 species
GGACAACGUAACCACCGGGUGACCGGUCCACCGAACCGUGAGGCGAAGUGGAAACUGCCAGCACAAAGGCGGUGAGGUGC